rnacentral:rRNA from 1 species
CAGUGGGGAAUAUUGGACAAUGGGCGAAAGCCUGAUCCAGCCAUGCCGCGUGUGUGAAGAAGGCCUUCGGGUUGUAAAGCACUUUAAGUUGGGAGGAAGGGCAGUANGUUAAUACNUUGCUGUUUUGACGUUACCGACAGAAUAAGCACCGGCUAACUCCGUGCCAGCAGCCGCGGUAAUACGGAGGGUGCAAGCGUUAAUCGGAAUUACUGGGCGUAAAGCGCGCG